AAGGUAGCGAAAUUCCUUGUCGGGUAAGUUCCGACCUGCACGAAUGGUGUAACGAUCUGGGCACUGUCUCAACCACGAGCUCGGUGAAAUUGUAGUAUCGGUGAAGAUGCCGGUUACCCGCAAUGGGACGAAAAGACCCCGUGAACCUUUACUAUAGCUUCGUAUUGGCUUUGGAUAAGUAAUGUGUAGGAUAGGUGGGAGACUUCGAUCAUGUGUCGCCAGGCAUGUGUGAGUCAUUGUUGAAAUACCACCCUUUACUUAUUUGAAGUCUAACGUCUAACGACGAACAGUGCGUGGUGGGUAGUUUGACUGGGGAGGUCGCCUCCAAAAG
rnacentral:rRNA from 1 species